rnacentral:rRNA from 1 species
GACGAACGCUGGCGGCGUGCUUAACACAUGCAAGUCGAACGGAAAGGCCCUGCUUUUGUGGGGUGCUCGAGUGGCGAACGGGUGAGUAACACGUGAGUAACCUGCCCUUGACUUUGGGAUAACUUCAGGAAACUGGGGCUAAUACCGGAUAGGAGCUCCUGCUGCAUGGUGGGGGUUGGAAAGUUUCGGCGGUUGGGGAUGGACUCGCGGCUUAUCAGCUUGUUGGUGGGGUAGUGGCUUACCAAGGCUUUGACGGGUAGCCGGCCUGAGAGGGUGACCGGCCACAUUGGGACUGAGGUACGGCCCAGAAGCCUACGGGAGGCAGCAGGGGGGAGUAUUGCACAAUGGGCGGAAGCCUGAUGCAGAAACGCCGCGUGCGGGAUGACGGCCUUCGGGUUAUAAACCGCUUUCGCCUGUGACGAAGCGUGAGUGACGGUAAUGGGUAAAGAAGCACCGGCUAACUACGUG